rnacentral:rRNA from 1 species
UACCAGCGGUCCAAGUCGCAGCCAUCAUUAUUGGGUCUAAAACAUCCGUAGCUUGUUUAAUAAGUUCCUUGUGAAAUCUGAUAUCUUAAAUAUCAGGCGCGCAAGGAGUACUGUUAAACUAGAGACUGGAAGACGUAGGAAGUACGUUCAAAGUAGUGGUAAAAUACGUUAAUCUUGGACGGACUCACAACAGCGAAGGCAUCCUACGAGGACAGUUCUGACAGUGAGGGAUGAAGGCUAGGGUCGCGAAACA